AGCAAUUUGUCCUGGCUUUUCAUACUCUACAGCCUCAACAGAGCACUAUACUUUCCAAAAGUAAAGAAUAGAGAAUCACAAACACUUUUAUUUCCGCUUUUAUUUUGAUGUUUCUCAAACCUUGCAGUUUCUCUUACCCAUUUCUAUCAUUUAUGAAACCAGCCAUUCUUAUAUGCAGACUCAAAUUUCAAACAAAAUCAACUAUAGAUAACCGGGAGUUAAGAAGCCAAACUACACUAGCCAAUCAUCCACUUGAUGUAACAGCCGAGCGUAAUUCUGAUGCUUUUGCUGGUCGAGAUUUUCUUCAGGGUUCCCAUUGCCGACUCCUCACUCUGAGUCGCGGGCUGCCUUAUGGCAUCAACAUCCAGUUAAGAUCGCUUUUUGUCCUCAAAUUUACCCCAGCAAUCACUCCACAAACGGAAGUAGACACACCUCUCACAAAAGCUAGCAAUAAUGCAGAUAAGGACACAUAAUUGUUUUCGAACUUGGCUGCACCACAUCAAUCAUCUUGAAUAGGUUCCCCUUGCCAUUCUGAAGGUUCAUGUUGCCGUUUCUUUUACUCCUUCACCUAGCAGCAAAUUAAACCACAAGGCGCAAAUUUCCCACAAUUAACUUUACUACAUACCAGAACCAAAAAUUACAGAAGCAAUUCAACAACUUUGCAAGGAGGUUCAAGCAAGGUUCAGUUAACAUUGUAGUUUAUCCACAUUCAACAUAAGUUUGAAUAUUCAUAAACAACACUGCCAACUGAACUUUGC